rnacentral:rRNA from 1 species
UACGUAGGGCGCGAGCGUUGUCCGGAAUUAUUGGGCGUAAAGAGCUCGUAGGCGGCCUGUUGCGUCCGCUGUGAAAUCCCGGGGCUCAACCCUGGGCGUGCAGUGGAUACGGGCAGGCUGGAGGCAGGCAGGGGAGAACGGAAUUCCCGGUGUAGCGGUGAAAUUCGUAGAUAUCGAGAGGAACACCUGUGGCGAAGGCGGCCAACUGGACGAGUACUGACGCUGAGGCACGAAAGCGUGGGGAGCAAACAGG